AGUAAGCACAAGCUGUGAUGGCGAGGGAAAUAUAAGUACCGAAGUCCCUGAUUUCACACUGCCAAGAAAAGCGUCUAGCGAGGAACAAGGUGCCCGUACCGCAAACCGACACAGGUAGGCGAGGAGAGAAUCCUAAGGUGCGCGGGAUAACUCUUGCUAAGGAACUCGGCAAAAUGGCCCCGUAACUUCGGGAGAAGGGGCGCCUCGGUAGGGUUUAUAGCCCGAGGAGGCCGCAGUGAAAAGGCCCAAGCGACUGUUUAGCAAAAACACAGGUCUCUGCGAAGCCGCAAGGCGAAGUAUAGGGGCUGACGCCUGCCCGGUGCUGGAAGGUUAAGGGGAUGGGUUAGCGCAAGCGAAGCUUUGAACCGAAGCCCCAGUAAACGGCGGCCGUAACUAUAACGGUCCUAAGGUAGCGAAAUUCCUUGUCGGGUAAGUUCCGACCCGCACGAAAGGCGUAACGACUUGGGCGCUGUCUCGGCAAGAGACCCGGUGAAAUCAUAAUACCUGUGAAGAUGCAGGUUACCCGCGACAAGACGGAAAGACCCCAUGGAGCUUUACUGUAGCCUGGUAUUGAAACUUUGUGCAUCAUGUACAGAAUAGGUGGGAAGCUGUGAAGCGAGGGCGCCAGCCUUCGUGGAGCUGUCGUUGGGAUACCACCCUUGAUGUACGGAGUUUCUAACUUGCCGCCCUUAUCGGGUGGAAGGACCAUGCCAGGUGGGCAGUUUGACUGGGGCGGUCGCCUCCUAAAGAGUAACGGAGGCGCCCAAAGGUUCCCUCAGAAUGGUCGGAAAUCAUUCGUAGAGUGUAAAGGCACAAGGGAGCUUGACUGCGAGACCUACAAGUCGAGCAGGGACGAAAGUCGGGCUUAGUGAUCCGGUGGUUCCGCAUGGAAGGGCCAUCGCUCAACGGAUAAAAGCUACCCUGGGGAUAACAGGCUUAUCUCCCCCAAGAGUCCACAUCGACGGGGAGGUUUGGCACCUCGAUGUCGGCUCAUCGCAUCCUGGGGCUGAAGUAGGUCCCAAGGGUUGGGCUGUUCGCCCAUUAAAGCGGUACGCGAGCUGGGUUCAGAACGUCGUGAGACAGUUCGGUCCCUAUCUGUCGCGGGCGUAGGAAGUUUGAGGAGAGCUGUCCUUAGUACGAGAGGACCGGGAUGGACGCACCUCUGGUGCACCAGUUGUCACGCCAGUGGCACAGCUGGGUAGCUAUGUGCGGACGGGAUAAGCGCUGAAAGCAUCUAAGCGUGAAGCCCCCUUCAAGAUGAGACUUCCCAUAGCGCAAGCUAGUAAGACCCCUCAUAGACGAUGAGGUUGAUAGGUUCGGUGUGGAAGUGCAGUAAUGCAUGGAGCUGACGAAUACUAAUCGGUCGAGGACUUAUCCAC
rnacentral:rRNA from 1 species